rnacentral:rRNA from 1 species
UACGUAGGUGACUAGCGUUGUCCGGAUUUACUGGGCGUAAAGAGCGCGCAGGCGGUCGUUCAAGUCGAGUGUGAGAGCCCCCGGCGUCAACUAGGGGAGGGGUCACUCGAUACUGAUCGACUCGAAGGCAGGAGAGGGAAGUGGAAUUCCCGGUGUAGUGGUGAAAUGCGUAGAUAUCGGGAGGAACACCAGUGGCGAAGGCGACUUCCUGGCCUGUUCUUGACGCUGAGGCGCGAAAGCUAGGGGGGCGAAACGGGAUUAGAUACCCUAGUAGU